rnacentral:lncRNA from 1 species
ACACGGCCAUAUGUCCCUUGUAGCUUCUUAAGGAUACAAGUCAAUAUGCUCACACCACCUAGCACACGGGCGUAUGGCUUGGUCGUGUGACCUAAGUUAGUGAGUUACAUGGGCACAAACCUAGGCUAGGACACGGCCAUAUGUCCCUAUUUCAAAUGUCUACAUGGCCUAAGACACGGGCGUGUCUCUUGGCUGUGUGAGUCACACGGCCGUGUGACCCUGCAGCUUUGAAAAUUUUAAAUGUUUUUGAAAUAUUUUCUAAGUUUUUGAUUUAGUCCUAAUUUAUUUCUAAUGCAUAAUUUGAG